rnacentral:SRP_RNA from 10 species
GCCUGGCAUGGCAGCACACACCAUAGUCCCAGCCACUCCAAAGGCGCAGGUAGGGGAACAGCUUGAACCCAGUGUUCUGGGCUAGAGCAUGCUAUACCAAUUGGGUGCCUGUACUAAGUUCAGCAUCAAUGUGGUGACCUCCCAGGAGUGAGGAACCACUCCUGGGUUGCCUAAGGAGGGAGGGGUGAACAGCCCAAGUCAGAAACAGAGUGGGUCAAAAUUCCAUUCUGAUCUGUAGUGGGAUCUCGCCUGUGAAUGGCCACUACAGUCUGUCUGGGUAACACAGCCGGAACCCCAAGU